rnacentral:rRNA from 1 species
UACGUAGGGCGCAAGCGUUGUCCGGAAUCAUUGGGCGUAAAGAGCUCGUAGGUGGUCUGUUACGUCUGCUGUGAAAACCUAGGGCUUAACCCCGGGCCUGCAGUGGAUACGGGCAGACUAGAGGUAGGUAGGGGAGAAUGGAAUUCCCGGUGUAGCGGUGAAAUGCGCAGAUAUCGGGAGGAACACCGGUGGCGAAGGCGGUUCUCUGGGCCUUACCUGACACUGAGGAGCGAAAGCGUGGGGAGCGAACAGG